CAACAGCUGAGAUGUCACCAUGCCACCCACAAGGGACCUGGGACUCACACUGGGGUUGCCGGCCUUCCCAAGCCUGUUGGUCAGUCAGGGGACAUUUGGAGACAUCUAAAUCUCUAUCUCUGGCCACCAGACUCUCGUGAGAACGAUCCCCAAAGAAUGACGAUUUCACCCUGAGCUUCCUGCAUGUGAAGGGAAAGCUGGGUGUCCUGGGACAGGAAGAGCUUUCUUCCCUGGGUAAGAUCCCACACGGUUCUGUCAGGCCAUUGUGCCGGCGAGACCGGAGCAGCACCUGGACCAGCAGGGCUUGGCUACGCACACUCUUACCUUCUAUUCGGAUCUAGACGUCAGGUCAGCACCUGGAGGAUGCACUUGGGCCAUGGCCACUGGGUCCCUUCGUUCGUUCGUUCCUCUUCCCAAUGUGACCAUAAUGAAUAAAUCUCUUUGCUUAGCUUCUCA
rnacentral:lncRNA from 1 species